rnacentral:SRP_RNA from 1 species
GCCAGGCAUGGUGGUGCAUGCCUGUAAUCCCAGCUACUCAGGAGGCUGAGGCAUGAGAACUGCUUGAGCCCAGGAGGUGGAGGUUGCAGUGAGCCGAGAUUGUGCCACUGCACUCCAGCCUGGGCGACAGAGCGAGACUCUGUCUCAA